GGGCCGCUAGCUCAAUGGCAGAGCGCCGGUCUUUUAAACCGUGCGGUCCGGGUUCGACCCCCGGGCGGCCCA
rnacentral:tRNA from 1 species